UUUUAAGAGAAACAAGCCUUUCCAUAUUUAAAAAGAAUUAACAAAUAUUUUAGAAUAUUGUGUAAACCCACUGACCAAAAAUGAAUAUAAAGGAGGAAAAAUGAUGAUUAAUAUAAAGAUAAUCAAAGAAAGGAAUUUACAAUUAAGACGAAGCUUUGAGCAGUGAUAAUUAUGCAGGAUUCUAGCUAGUAUAAAGGAAAGUCUUCUGCACAACUCUCUGCUUCAAAAACACUUGGGUGUAUUUCCUAAGUAACCAACAAAAACACAUAAGCUUUCUUAUCGUAUGAAUAUGUCACCAAGUCAGAUUAUUAUCUUCUUUAUAUAUCCUUUGUAAAUCUCAUAACGCACUUGACUUCUUCCACAUCACCAGGGACUUGAGGAACUCCAUCACCUCUGAUGGGUCCCUUAGAGAGUAAAAUGCAUUGGUUUCCUUUGGCACUGAUGAUACUAAAAUACCAAAACCACAGUUCCUUUCUCUCAAAACCUUAAAUGCAUCUUCAUCUGUCCGGUCAUCUCCAACAUAAAUUGGAAGCACAUCAUCACAAUUGCUUAGACCAAGUGAUUCAAGCAGAAACGUGACAGCUUUCCCCUUAUCCCAAUUGAUCACAGGUCGGACCUCUAAAACCUUCCUCCCAUGAGUCAAUCGCAGGCGUGGAUAGUUUUUUAUGACAUCAUAGACACACUGUGCAACUGAUGUCCAACUCUUAUCAUCUACAUUACGGUAAUGAACAGAUACACAGAACUUGUUGUUUUCAACUUUUGCUCCUUUAAUGUCUUUUGUACUCUCAACAAGGGAACUAUAUACCUCAUCAAUCAUGGGUAAAAAUUCACUAGCUGGUUGGAACAAAUUAACUUCCUUGCCCUCAUUGUCAGUAGACCUCAUACAAUUUGGCUGGUCAUCGGGCACAGAUUGUCUAACAGGGCCCAUGAUGUCCAUCCCAUGACUACCCGCAUAAUAGAGUUCUGUUAGUCCUACAAACUCAUGUACCUUAUCACGGCUUCUCCCACUAAUUAUUGCUGUUGGGAAACAUUUUGCUACCUUCUUUACAGCAGAACGCAUAGCGUUAGACAUGAAUGCGCAGUCAGGGUUGUCAACAAUUGGUGAAAGAGUCCCAUCAUAAUCCAGAAACAAUGCUAAUCUCUUGCCUUUUGCAAAGUUUGCAAUUUGCUCAAAAAAUGUAAGCGCUGAUGGAUACUUAAGCGUCCAGGUGGCAUAGGCAACAUCAGUAUCAGCUGAGGCAAACUCAUUACUGAGAUCUUUGGUUAUUCUCUUGUGAGGAGGGGAUGAGGAUUUCAUAGCAUCAAGCCAGCUACUAGAGCGAACGUCAUCUAAUACUCCAGUUUUCUUCCUAGGGAUAGUUAGAAAUAAAUUUGACGAAAAAGCAGCUCCGGGAUUGUAAGGCAACAAACUGGAAUGCACGCCCAAUCUUGAUUUGCUUAUGGGUGCAGAGUCAGUGAGAACAGGAGCAUUGUGGUUGGAUUUAAGGUCCAUUUGAUCCAGAUUUCUAAAGCAAUUUAUGAGAGACAAAUGAAGUAAAAGUUUACAGCAGACAAUCCUUUCAAAAGAGAAGCAGUAGAGGAUUUCAGUAAGAAAUCUCAGAUAUCUCUUCACCCAACUCUUUUAUCAAUGAAAAACCACCUCUUCAAAGUGCUCUUAUCACUGCUAGCAGGCGAGCAGUCCAUCAAGCACAGAAGUCCUGGAGGUUAUCAUCUCCCUAGUCACCAUAUAAACAAAUGUUCGAGUCUAAGAACAGAGUUUGGCUUUAGCUCAGAUUCGUUAGAAAUCUUCAACCUCCACACUGAUUUGAGCUCCCUCUUCCCUUGUAAGUUAAAACAAAUUAUCCAUUUUCAUUAUCUGCUAUUAAAGCAUGUCUUCCAACAUCUUCUGCAGCAUCAAAAAAAUAUUUCACUGCCAAGAGAGAAUUUAAUUUCCACCAUUCUUGUGAUUUCCCAAAUUAUGCAUUCGGUAGCAAAAAAUAUAUAUAUAUAAAGCCAUCCCUAAUUUUUUUUUUGGAAUCCAAAGGAAUAAGAAAUGAGAAUCAAGUCCACCUAACCCGACGCUCUGCAAAAUAUUUGAGCCAGUGAAUUAAGGUCAAUGAGAAAGCAUCAAACAAAUUGAUGAACAUAUCACCCCAAAUAUUUGUCAGUAUAAAAUUGAUGACCUAGAAAAACUUGAAUUUUACUUUUAAAAAAGAAACUGUAAAAAUGAAAAGCCUGACAAUUGUUUUGGCAUUAUUUAAGUGGCACAAUUAAUUCCGCAACACAUUAACAGUUUCAAUAUUUCAAGUUUAAGCUCUCAGAAACCUUUUAUGUUCCCUGUACUCUAACUACCAGAAACACAAUGAUGGUACUAAAUAAUAUUGAAAAGAAGAAGAAGAAGAGGAGGAGUAAAAAGGAGAAGAAAAGUUAAACAAACAUAUAAAUAAGCAGGGUUAGACUUGCAGGGGAAAAAGAAAAGCUUAAAAUGCAUUUCUUUUCUAGUGUCGAAACACAUAAAACUGUAAAUCACCUAAAGCAUAUAGAAAAUAAACAAUAAACAAGCACACUAGCCAAUCUAUAGCCAAGAAAGAAAGAAACCAAAAAACAAAUAGUGUUCAGCGUUUAAAACUGGCCCACAAAGUUUACAUCUGGUAGAGAAAAUAUUAGCCAUUCCAUGGUUGUGUAUAAUAAAAAGCUAUUCAUACCCCACCCACUGGAGACAAAGCAUUACCAUAUGCAACCACAUAUCAUGGGCCUACAUCAAGCAUGGAAUCAUUAAACAAAUGGACCCAACAAGUAAAAAAAUAUUUAGGAAUAAUAAUAAUAAUAUAUAAUAUAAGAUAUCUUCAUUGUAUUGUUGCUAUCAUACAUUCUACUGUGACCACUAACAUCAAAAUUUCCAAAAACAGAAUUUUUAAACAUCAUAAUUACAUUGGCGCAUAAUUAGCUUUGACGCAACUUACAAAUCAGAACCAAUUGUAAUAUACAGUUUUCUUAACGUCUUCUUUUGAAUAUAUGGUCAAGAUUCAAGGUAAAAAUUUUGAAAAGCACCAAUGUUGUAUAUUAUCCAAGAUUUGAAAAGUCUUUGUGGUCGCAACUUUAAAAAAAAAAUGGACAUUAGACCAGACAUUACUCAAUAAAAUUACGGUGCAGAGUGGUUGACAUAUGAAAUGUUUUGAAAAGGGAGAAAAAUCAAGGACAAAAACAAAAUAUAAAUCACAUCAUUGCAAAUAUAGCUAGAGAGAAUCAGAUUAGAAUCAAUCUUAAACCGUAUCGGUUUUUGCGGUCGGGAAAAAACUGAAAAAAAUAAAAAAAUAAAAAAACUGAACAAACCAAUCAUGUAUGUUUCAGUCAAGCCAGAAAACCUGCUGCAUAUAAUUAAAAUACGAAAAUUUAUAAAAUAAAUGUUGGAGAAAAAGAAAUCCAUAAUUUUUUUAUAUUACCAAACAUAACACGGAAAUCAAAAUUUUCCAAGCAGAAAAGCGGCGAUUGAAUAAAAAGGUUAAGCAUAAAGAAAAGAUGAUAACAAUAACGGAGUAGGCGAGAGACAGAGAGAUAUACACAAAGUAAGGUGAAAGAGAAAACCUUUUGGGGAAAAUAUUUAGCAAAUACUGAAACCAGACGGCAUUACUUGCGAAAAUAGAAUCUUGAAGAAGAAGAAAAUUGAAAUGUACCUAAUCUUUUUGGAGUUAUAGUCCAAAAGGGAAAAUCAAAAUACGAAUCCCGAAGCAAUCGUCAAAAUGCAGGCACCUUCAAUGACAAUAAUGCAAAAAAUCAGUGAUGGCAAUUAACCAGAUGAAGUCAAAGUACGACACCGUUUGACAGCCGAGAAUGCACGGAAAACGAAAGUAACCUGUCAAACACAAUUCUUUCAAUGCCUUUUUCUUUUUCGACCUGUUUCCCAGCAACAAAAUGAAGGGGAGAAGAGAGUAGUACAGAGCUGCAAAGAAAAAAGAAAACCCUAGAAAUCGCAGAGAACGCGAACAAGAAUCAAGCUAAAGAACGUCGAUGCAUAACCGAGAAGCAAGAUUGAGAGGAGAAGAAGAGUAAGGUUAGCCUAGAAUAGAGCAGGGGUAUUUAUAGUUUCGAUUUUGACGAACGCGUUUAACAAGGCAACCCGGUUGUUGAAUCAGGAAGCACCGCAAUUAAAAAUUCAAAACCCGACGAAAAUAUUUCUUGAUAUUACACGCUCCAAUUAAUGCUCGAGUAAAUCCAUUAGCGCAUGGUUGAGAUCGUUGUUUAAUUUUGAUUUGCUGGGAGGAGAAGAAGAGUAAGGUUAGCCUAGAAUAGAGCAGGGGUAUUUAUAGUUUCGAUUUUGACGAACGCGUUUAACAAGGCAACCCGGUUGUUGAAUCAGGAAGCACCGCAAUUAAAAAUUCAAAACCCGACGAAAAUAUUUCUUGAUAUUACACGCUCCAAUUAAUGCUCGAGUAAAUCCAUUAGCGCAUGGUUGAGAUCGUUGUUUAAUUUUGAUUUGCUGG
rnacentral:misc_RNA from 1 species